UGGAUCCAGACUUUGAUCAUGGCUCAGGAUGAACGCUAGCUACAGGCCUAACACAUGCAAGUCGAGGGGAAACGGCAGCUUAGCUUGCUAAGCUGGACGUCGACCGGCGCACGGGUGAGUAACGCGUAUCCAACCUGCCCCACGGUGAGGGAUAACCCGCGGAAACGCGGCCUAAUACCUCAUGGUCUCCGAGCUUGACAUCAACCUUGGAGUAAAGAUUCAUUGCCGUGGGAUGGGGAUGCGUCUGAUUAGCUUGUUGGCGGGGCAACGGCCCACCAAGGCAACGAUCAGUAGGGGUUCUGAGAGGAAAGCCCCCCACAUUGGAACUGAGACACGGUCCAAACUCCUACGGGAGGCAGCAGUAAGGAAUAUUGGUCAAUGGGCGAGAGCCUGAACCAGCCAAGUAGCGUGCAGGACGACGGCCCUAUGGGUUGUAAACUGCUUUUAUGCGGGGAUAAAGCGGGCGACGUGUCGCCCUUUGCAGGUACCGCAUGAAUAAGGACCGGCUAAUUCCGUGCCAGCAGCCGCGGUAAUACGGAAGGUCCGGGCGUUAUCCGGAUUUAUUGGGUUUAAAGGGAGCGCAGGCCGGGUAUUAAGCGUGUUGUGAAAUGUAGGCGCCCAACGUCUGCACCGCAGCGCGAACUGGUGCCCUUGAGUACGCACGACGUUGGCGGAAUUCGCCGUGUAGCGGUGAAAUGCUUAGAUAUGGCGAAGAACUCCGAUUGCGAAGGCAGCUGACGGGAGCGCUACUGACGCUCAUGCUCGAAAGCGCGGGUAUCGAACAGGAUUAGAUACCCUGGUAGUCCGCGCGGUAAACGAUGGAUGCCCGCUAUUUGCUCAUUAGCGCAAGUGGCCAAGUGAAAACGUUAAGCAUCCCACCUGGGGAGUACGCCGGCAACGGUGCAACUCAAAUGAAUUGACGGA
rnacentral:rRNA from 1 species